rnacentral:rRNA from 1 species
UACGAAGGGGGCUAGCGUUACUCGGAUUGACUGGGCGUAAAGGGCGCGUAGGCGGUUUGUACAGUCAGACGUGAAAUUCCUGGGCUCAACCUGGGGGCUGCGUUUGAUACGUGCAGACUUGAGUUCGGAAGGGGAGUGUGGAAUUCCCGGUGUAGCGGUGAAAUGCGCAGAUAUCGGGAGGAACACCAGUAGCGAAGGCGGCACUCUGGGCCGGAACUGACGCUGAGGAGCGAAAGCGUGGGUAGCAAACAGG